ACCGCGCGCUGCUCCCUGAAAGGGCAAAGCGGCGUCGGGCGCUGCAGCGCCCUAUGGACACAUCUCCGUGGGACAGGGUGGCCCAGGGAAGCUGCUGGAGCACUUGGGGAGGGGGCUUGCAGGAGGAAAGGGCAGGGCCAUUCGUGCGGGGGGGGCUGUAAGAGGGAACCAGAGCCACCCAGGACACUAAGGAGUUGCAAGAGGGGAGGCGCGGGGGACCACGGAGUGUGUGUGGAGGGGAGGGGGGUUGUCACGAGAGCCCAGCACCAGAUUUCAGAAGGGAUGAGGGCGAAGGAGGGAGCAGCUCUUGGCGCCCAGGAAGGAUCAGGUUAAAACUCCUACAUCUGGGACUCCCUGGUUCAGCAAUAUCUGUGGUCUAGCAGGACCACAGAUGUUGCUGAACCAUACAGCGCCAGUGGCUGAGAGUGAGAGUCGGCCUGGAGCUGGGAGCCUCAGUCUGGGCAGGAAGCGGCGGGGCAGAAUUAGCAGGACCAGGAAGCCCCAUCCCUGAGGAGCCCUAGCCAGAAUCACUCCUGAGAAUGCGGCUUCAUUCAUCUUAAAUUAGAAUAAAGUGAAGAAGAAACAGCUCAAAAAAUUUGUGGGCCAGAUCCUCAGUUGUUGUCAAUUCACAUAAAAUGACUGAAGUCAGUUUACAGCAGUUGAGGCUUUGGCACAUUCAUUUGAACUGAAGGAUUCAGAGAGCCUGGGAUGUACCUGUCAGGCAGCAGGCCACUUGUUCUAGGCAAUUCUAAAAGGUCAGUGUAUAGUUAACUUUUGGCAUUAAUAAUGUCUCCUCUGCAAGCAACAGGAACUGAGUUAUAUCAGCCUUAGUGCUGGUUUAGAACAAAUAGAGAAAAAUAAAGUCCUUAUUUCUGCCUCUCAGAUGUAUGAGGCUUGGAAGAAAGAAUUUAUGUUAUUUAAACACAUUUAUUCCCAAUUGCACCUAUCUACUCACUGGCUAAAUCCAUACAUUGAAAAGCACACAUUUAAAUAGGUAUGAUUCUAAAUUCUAAAACAGAUUUCUUGAACAAUGAAGGCGAGAGUCUCAAAAUCACUCACAACGGGAGCAUAAAUCCUUUUUAACAUGGCUUUUGUUGUAAUGUCUCUUAACUGGACCCUCAGGGGCUAACUUUAGUCAUUGGAUUCUAUUUGUCAUUAGGGAAAUAUCCAAUACAACAGAUUUCCUCUCACAUCUGAGAAAAGAUGAACAACUACUCAAGAUUUCUACAGAAUCUACCAGAGAAGUGAAAACUAACAGUAAUUAUUUUUCCCUAAAAAGAAUUCAAUUAAAGCCAAUUUAAACCAGAACUGUUAAACAAACCCUGCUUAUUCAUAAUCUCCAGCAUUAGCAGCUUUAAGGACUGGCAAAGGGAUCAGAAGUAGUGAGUUUACAGACCUUAAUCACACUGGACAAGGAGAAGUAAUAUUCCUGUCCAAACUUUAGCAAAAAACAUAAUGGCUACAAUAGACUGGCAA